rnacentral:lncRNA from 1 species
GAAUUUCCUUCUCUCGAAAUCCUUGCCUGCAUACUCUUCUUCCCUGAAUCCUGACCGAAUGGUUGCAUCCCACGCGCCAUGGAACAAUCCGCUCUUGUCUUCUGAGCUAGUUCGGCGUCAAGACAUACAUCUUGCAGUCGUGAGGUGGCACCGAAGCUGAUAGCUGGCCUUGAGCCGAGAACGACGAGUGCUGCACAACAAAAUGGAACACGAAAUCUCAAGCCCGAACACCAGCCAGCCUUCAUUACAUUGGUUAUGGUAUGGAGUUAUGCAAUCUGAAGAGCGAGCGAGGCAGCAAAAGCAGCGUACCGCCCAUAGAUCGCGAGCAGUGACAGCAGUGGAAGAAGCGAGCCCGAUGCUCGACCACUGCGCGGUGAUGGUUGCCUGGUAUCCCUGCCGGUUCCAGAGAACCACGGCCUUCCUGUUGUUGCUGAGCGGCCCAGCCCAAACCUACAGAAGAACACACCACCACACCACUCUCAGCUUUGCUUCGGAAGUCAGAGGCCUUAACAAACUGCUGCAUCUACAGAGGUUGAGGAACACCUACCUCCAAGCCAUUGCUGGACUGCACUUUCUUUCCCUGCGCACCUAGGCUAUCUGCUCAGAGAUCUGCUGCGUCAGUACACCGAAACGCCGUAACCGUAAAACUCGUCGUAGUUAGGAACGCGGAAAGGGGGAAGCCUGUCUCUUGCCUUGGUUCACGGCGAUGACUUCCGAGUUGCUGAGGAUGCCCAUCGUCUGCUGGCUCAUCGCCCGCACGUCGCACCCGAUCAGAAGCGGAGCCUGCACGACAUAUUCCGCAGGAGGUUCUGGCGGAGAAAACUGCCGCUGCUCUCUGGUUGAAGCUGGAGUCGAUCUGUAUGUCAAAGGAUCUGACCAGCAAGAUGCAUGUCAAAAUGAAGUUGUUCUCCCACAAGUUGCAGGAAGGAGGAUCCGUUCUGACGCACAUAUCGGUGUUUAAGGAGAUCGUGGCCGAUCUGACGUCUAUGGAGGUAAAGUUUGAUGAUGAAGACCUAGCUCUUCUUCUCCUGUGUUCCCUCCCUGCAUCGUUUAGCAAUUUUCGAGAUACCAUCCUAUACAGUCGUGAUACUCUAACCGUGGCUGAAGUGUAUGAAGCUUUGACUGCGAAAGAAAAGAUGAGACAGAUGGUUAACUCGGAAGAUGCUGCUGGCACGAGUGGAGAAGCUUUGUAUGUCCGUGGCCGCACUGAUAAAAAAAGUCCAACUCAGGUGGCAAAGGAAAGGGGAAGAACCAGAGGGGUCGCUCCAAGUCAAGGGGGCCAUCCGAUGAAUUAUUUUGCAAAUACUGCAAGAAGACGAACCAUGUAAUUGAGAACUGUUACAAACUGCAGAACAAGGACAAGAGGAACAAGGAGAAGGGUAAGACUGGAGGUACUGUCUCUGUUGCAUCCGAAAAUAAUUCUGAUAAUGGUGAUGUUCUUAUUGCCUUUGCUGGUUGUGCUGCUGAUGAUGUCCAAUGGAUCCUCGAUUCUGCUUGCUCGUAUCAUGUUUGCACUAAAAAAUCUCUGUUUAGUACCUAUGAAGCUGUGCAGAACGGAGGUACUCUUCGGAUGGGUGAUAAUUCCCCUUGCACUGUUGCUGGCAUGGGCACCGUGCAGAUCAAGAUGUUCGAUGGGAUUGUACAUACAUUGACUGAAGUACGGCAUGUUCCAUCCAUGUCCAGGAACCUCAUCUCUGUGAGUACUAUGGACACAAAGGGCUACAAGUAUACCGCCGGUGACGGUGUCAUAAAGGUAACAAAAGGCUCUCUUGUGGUUAUUAAAGGUGAUUUGAAAGCUGAAAACUUAUAUGUGCUUCGAGGUAGUUCUGGCUCUGCUAAUGCUGUUGUUGUUAGAAAUAUAGGCAUUUUCCAUAUUAUUUUAAUUUCAUAAAUUAACAUUAUGAUGAUGACAUAUAAAAUAUGUUUAAUCAUAGAAAUCAUUAUCUCAAAUAUAUCCAUAACAAUAUGGAUCAAGAGAACAUGAAACAUAUGAAUCAUAUAAAUAUAAUAAGCAAAUAAACAUGGAACAUGUAUUAUUAUAGAACAACUGAAAAUAAACAGAUAGCAGCAUAAACAGCAUGUCUGUAAAAUUAAGACAAACAGAUUUAUCAUAUUACUAGUAUGAUCAGGCAUCAGACACGUCAUGAUAUAAUACGACAAAACAGAUUGAAUAAAUUUAUGGCUAUAAAUAAAACAGCAGGAAUGAACAUAUACAAUUUGCAGAAUGAAAAACAGUAAGGAGAUGAAUUGAUCAUACCCUGCCAUGCGCUCCGAGGAUCUAGAUCCUUGUCCAACUUCACUUGUCAUGUCAGCAGGAAGAAGACUUUGGGCAGUCGCGUAGACGCUCCCCAAAAACCUAAUUGUCGAUCCCUCGUGCAAGGUCUCGAACGGCAAGGGCUCCGGAGGCACCUGCCCUCUCGCUUCUCUGUGCGCGCAGAGUCACGAGAUGGAAAUACCCUCACUCGGCUGCUGGACUGUGUUCUGAAAGUGUUUUCUCGCGUGUACCGAGUGACAGGGGUGCUCCUCUAUUUAACCUCUCGCAGAGGGAAGCUGAAGGAGAAAGGUCGCCGAGUCACGCCAAGAGUCGGCCAGCUCUAGCCGAGUGAUGCCAUGAGUCGGCCAGCUCUCGCUGAGUCACGCCAUAAGUCGGCAGCUGAAGGAGAAGGGUCACUCGGCUGGCUGACGAAGAGACAGGGUCACUCGGCAGACGAAGAGACAGAGUCACUCGGCUGACGUACGCGGUUAGUGAGUGCUAAAAAUUAACACAACCACACCACGCCCGCUCGCCUGCCUGCCUCGCCACGCCACGCCCGGCCCGGCCGGCGGCGGCGGCGGCGCGCGCGCGCGCGUGUGGCACGCCCUUGUCCAUUUCUUGACUUCUCAAGUUAAGUGGAAUAAAUCCUACCAUAUAAGUCAAGGCAAAAGACCCUUGGACUUCCAAUGUGGUACUAUUGGUAUUCUCCACCAUUACACACCAUAGAGUUUAUUCAAUAAAUGGGCCAAGCCCAUAAAAGAUCCAACAGUUGUUGCAUCUGAUUCUGAGACUACUAAAAUUUGGCAUAUGCGACUUGGCCAUAUGAGUGCACCUGGUUUGGCAGAAUUGAGCAAGAGAGGCCUUCUUGAUGGUUGCCAUGCUGAUACUCUUGAUUUCUGUGAGCACUGUGUUUUCGGUAAGCAUAAAAGGGUAAAAUUCAGUUCUGCUGUUCAUAAUACCGAAAAUAUUCUUGAUUAUGUUCAUGCUGAUUUGUGGGGACCGUCACGUAUACCUUCACAUGGUGGUGCUCGUUACAUGUUGACUAUCAUUGAUGAUAAUUCACGCAGAGUUUGGCCUUAUUUUCUUAAGCAAAAAUCAGAUGCCUUUGAGUCUUUCAAGGUUUGGAAGACUAUGGUUGAGAAGCAGACUGAGAGGAAGCUGAAGGUUCUGAGAACUGACAAUGGUAUGGAGUUUUGUUCUGGUGAUUUUAACUCUUUCUGCAGGAAGGAGGGCAUUGUGAGGCACCACACUAUACCAUAUACGCCUCAGCAGAACGGUGUGGCAGAGCGUAUGAAUAGAAUAAUAAUCUCCAAGGCUCGGUGUAUGCUGUCCAACUCAGGUUUGAGCCGCAAGUUUUGGGCUGAGGCCGCUUCCACUGCUUGUCAUUUGAUCAAUUGUUCACCAUCCACUGCUAUCGAAAAGAAAACUCCAAUUGAGGUUUGGUCUGGUUCCCCCUAUGAUUAUUCUCAGUUGAGAGUGUUUGGUUGUACUGCAUAUGCACAUGUUGAUAAUGGUAAACUUGAGCCUAGAGCAAUUGUGUUUUCUUGGGUUAUGGAUCUGGUGUUAAAGCAUAUAAAUUGUGGAAUCCUGAUACACAGAAGGCAUUUUUAGUAGAAACGUUGUGUUCAAUGAAUCUGCUAUGUUUCCUUCGGUUGUAUCUACCAGUACUACUAACCAGAAUUCUGAGUCUAUCAGUGUGCAGGUGGAGCACGGAGGGGAUGUUGAUGAUCAUGCUCCACCAUGUGCUGAACCUGCUGAAAAUUCUGUUUCAGAAAUUUCAUCACCUGUUGUGGAGUCUCAUCCCCAGUCUCUUGCUGAAGGUCGAACUAGGAGGCAGAUAGUUUGGCCCCAAAGACUGAUUCAAGAGUGCAAUGUUGCCUUUGCUUUGGCUGUUGCUGAAGAAGUUGAUAAUGUUCAGGAACCAUUGAAUUAUUCAGAAGCUAUAUUGUGUACUGAUAGUGAAAAGUGGAUGGGUGCUAUGCAUGAAGAAAUGGAGUCUCUUGAUAAGAAUGGCACUUGGGAACUAGCUCGGCUGCCUUCUGGUAAAAAGGCAAUUAAGUGCAAAUGGAUCUUCAAAAGAAAAGAAGGUAUGACUCCAAAAGAGCCUCCGCGCUUUAAAGCAAGGCUAGUUGCAAAAGGUUUUAGUCAGAUUCCAGGAAUUGAUUACUCUGAUGUCUAUUCUCCUGUUGUCAAGCAUAGUUCAAUUCGUACCUUUCUUAGUCUUGUUGCUGUACAUGACUAUGAGCUUGAACAGUUAGAUGUGAAAACUGCUUUCUUACAUGGUGAUUUGGAGGAGGACAUUUAUAUGGACCAGCCAGAGGGGUUCAUUGUUCCUGGAAAAGAAGACUAUGUGUGCAGGUUGAAGAACUCCUUAUAUGGUCUGAAACAAUCUCCCAGACAAUGGUAUAAGAGGUUUGAUUCAUUUAUGCUUUCUAAGGGCUUUCAGAGGUCUCAAUAUGAUAGUUGUGUUUAUCUAAAAUUUGUUAAUGGAUCACCUACAUAUUUGCUGCUAUAUGUUGAUGAUAUGUUGAUUGUUGCCAAGAGCAUGAAGGAAAUCACUGCUUUAAAGGCACAGCUUAGUAGCGAAUUUGAUAUGAAGGAUCUGGGUGCUGCAAAGAAAAUCCUUGGCAUAGAGAUAGUCAGGGAUAGGAAGUCUGGACUGCUGUACUUGAGCCAGAAGAAUUAUAUUGAGAAGGUCCUUCGUCGUUUCAACAUGCAAAAUACUAAACCCGUGAGUAUUCCGUUGGCUCCUCAUUUUAAACUGUCUGCUAAACAGUGUGCUGAAACUGAUACUGAGCUUGAAUAUAUGUCAAAAGUUCUAUACUCUAGUGUUGUUGGGUCACUCAUGUAUGCUAUGGUUUGUUCUCGUCCUGAUUUGUCUCAUGCUAUGAGCGUUGUUGCUAGAUACAUGUCUAAUCCUGGUAAAGAGCAUUGGAAAGCUGUUCAGUGGAUUUUCAGAUAUCUAUGUGGUUCUUCUAGUGCUUGUUUAUGUUUUGGUAAAUCUGGAGAUGGUCUGAUUGGCUAUGUUGAUUCAGAUUAUGGUGGUGAUUUAGACAGGAGGAGAUCUCUUUCAGGUUAUGUCUUUACUAUUGGAGAUUGUGCUGUGAGUUGGAAAGCUCGUUUACAGGAUACUGUUGCUUUGUCUACCACAGAAGCUGAGUAUAUGGCAAUUGCAGAAGUUACUAAGGAAGCCUUAUGGUUGAAAGGUAUAUAUUCAGAGCUAUGUGGAAUUAAGUCUUGCAUUACCAUCUAUUGUGAUAGCCAGAGUGCCAUUCAUCUCACAAAAGAUCAGAUGAUUACUGAGAAAUCCAAACAUAUUGAUAUUCGUUAUCACUUCAUUCGUGAUAUCAUUGAUAAAGGGUUGGUAAAGGUAUGCAAGAUCAGUACUGAUAAUAAUCCAGCUGAUAUGAUGACGAAGCAUGUUUCUGUUGCUAAGUUUGAGCUAUGCUCAAACUUAGUUGGUAUUAUAAAUUAGCCCUUAGUGGCUGUUGGCGGCGGCAAGAUGAUGAUGUAUUUGUUUAAGGUGGAGGUUGCUAUUAUGAUGCUACAAGGAAUUUGUCUCAAGGUGGAGUUUGUUGAGUUUGUGAUCCAAAUUCUGAAGAAGGCGGCCAAGUUGGCGAGCGAAGCGGAGGGCCGUCGCCGGGAGGCUUGGGCCGGAGCGCAGGCUUGGGCCGGAUCGUUUUAAGGUUUCACCUCUAUAAAUAUCUUUGUAAGCCGCAGGAGAUAUAUAUCUCAAUUGUAAAUCUCCUGCGAUCUGUAACCACCCGAAAAUAGUGACAAGUUGUCGGCCGACGCCCGUGGUUUUUUCCCCUUCACUUUGGAGGGGUUUUCCACGUUAAAUCCGUGUCUUCUCUGUGAUUGAUCCUAUUUGUGUCGCAUUUAUUUAUAACAAAAUCCUCUCCAACGUUCCUAAGAAUUAAGCAGGAAAUUAGCUCAUUUUCUCUUUAAUCCAAAAAAUCACUAAUGGAAUUUAAGUUUGUAAACUAGUCCUAUCGCGAAGGGAAUUUAAGUUUGUAAACUAGUCCUUAGGGUAUAAAUUUAGAGUAGCAUGAUUGCGGAUGCCCUUAUUAAGAAUUCAUGGGAUAUAACAUUAGUAACAUCACUUCACAGAGAACGCACAUUUUCUAUAUUCUCUUGUUCUCUGAAAUCCGUCCACAUGCUCGUAAAAAGGGUGGUGGGCAAGCCAAUUUUAUUGCUGCAACUCUCGUUACAAACAUCCAGUAACACAGGCACCGGCAUUUUGACGGCGCCUUAGAUACACUUCCAUAGUAUUAGUAUAAAUUAUUCCUCCAUUCGCACUCAUAUCCUGUAUAACCAAAUGAUAUCGAAUUUCCUUCUCUUGAAAUCCUUGCCUGCACUGCAUACUCUUCUUCCCUGAAUCCUGACCGAAUGGUUGCAUCCCACGCGCCAUGGAACAAUCCGCUCUUGUCUUCUGAGCUAGUUCGGCGUCAAGACAUACAUCUUGCAGUCGUGAGGUGGCACCGAAGCUGAUAGCUGGCCUUGAGCCGAGAACGACGAGUGCUGCACAACAAAAUGGAACACGAAAUCUCAAGCCCGAACACCAGCCAGCCUUCAUUACAUUGGUUAUGGUAUGGAGUUAUGCAAUCUGAAGAGCGAGCGAGGCAGCAAAAGCAGCGUACCGCCCAUAGAUCGCGAGCAGUGACAGCAGUGGAAGAAGCGAGCCCG